rnacentral:rRNA from 1 species
UACGGAGGGGGCUAGCGUUGUUCGGAAUUACUGGGCGUAAAGCGCGCGUAGGCGGCUUUGUAAGUUAGAGGUGAAAGCCCGGAGCUCAACUCCGGAACUGCCUUUAAAACUGCAUCGCUUGAAUCCAGGAGAGGUGAGUGGAAUUCCGAGUGUAGAGGUGAAAUUCGUAGAUAUUCGGAAGAACACCAGUGGCGAAGGCGGCUCACUGGACUGGUAUUGACGCUGAGGUGCGAAAGCAUGGGGAGCAAACAGG